rnacentral:rRNA from 1 species
CCUACGGGAGGCUGCAGUGGGGAAUAUUGGACAAUGGGGGGAACCCUGAUCCAGCCAUGCCGCGUGUGUGAAGAAGGCCCUCGGGUUGUAAAGCACUUUCAGUGAGGAAGAACGCCUGGUGGUUAAUACCCAUCAGGAAAGACAUCACUCACAGAAGAAGCACCGGCUAACUCCGUGCCAGCAGCCGCGGUAAUACGGAGGGUGCGAGCGUUAAUCGGAAUUACUGGGCGUAAAGCGCGCGUAGGUGGCUUGAUAAGCCGGUUGUGAAAGCCCCGGGCUCAACCUGGGAACGGCAUCCGGAACUGUCAAGCUAGAGUGCAGGAGAGGAAGGUAGAAUUCCCGGUGUAGCGGUGAAAUGCGUAGAGAUCGGGAGGAAUACCAGUGGCGAAGGCGGCCUUCUGGACUGACACUGACACUGAGGUGCGAAAGCGUGGGUAGCAAACAGGAAUAGAUACCCUUGUAGUC